rnacentral:lncRNA from 1 species
CUUGCCACGAUGACCCGUGGCGAAUUUGGCUGCCAAAGGAAGUUGCCAAUUUGAGCUCCUGGGACAUAGACAUUCUCGAUGGCAGUGGGGAUGACAUGGAAGACUGCCAUUACCAAAUUGACUACGGAAAGCAAGUGUUGAUGGUUGGGCACCAGAACUGUACUGAAAUGGAGGAUAACAAGCCGCGCCUGAGAUUCAGGUUGCAGUUCAACACUACUGAGGGAGUUCGACUCCAGAACAAAACUUACAGCGUAGACUGCAACAACCUCCAGGCUGAUGAAGCUUUAUCUGACAAUGGUUUUGCCAGCGCUACUACAAACUGCACCAAAAACGUCAUGGCAGUUACAUUCCCAAGGCUUAUUCCCACUUUUCGGGAUGAACUCAUG